AUGGCCAUCCUGUAUUUUAAAGAUAGCAUGCAUGUGUUUUUCUUAACAAAUAUUCAUCGUGUAUUAAAAAGAAGUCUUCAUGGUGUCUUAGAAAAAGACCAUGAAUCGCCCCCUCUUCCCCUGGAUCGCGUCCAGGCUCAUGCGUUCAACACCCCCGCGCUACAUCGUGUUGCAUUGAUUCCAUCUUCCUCGGCUCCUCACCUCCCAAAAGCAGACCAUCAGUGCACAAUCACCUCUCCGGUGACAUCGCCGGUCUUCCCUAUAGGCAACUCCAGUUUCUUUGCAAAAUCUCCGCUAAUGCCGCGGGCGACGCCGCGUGCGGCCUCUGCCGCCGGUGACCAGCGGGUAGGCGGUCGGUUUUGGGCGUUGGCGGACGGCGCAGGAGAUUCGGAGGACGAUGGCGCGGAACCGGACGGCGAGGAGUCUCCGGCGGGCUCGCCGACGCCGUCGGACGCGAUCUGCGAGGCUUUCCGGGUCGGUUAUUCCGAGGAUGAGGUGGCAUUGCUUGUCGACCUAGCGAUUCCUCGAGACGAUCCGGCGAGGGCAGGCCUGAAGGAGGAGGACAACGUCGAGGUUGUUCGCCGCGUCGUUCAUCGUCGCACGGCGGCUUCGGCUCUCCGGCCAUGGCACGGUCCUCUUCCCAAGGUAUGUCUUCCUAAACCAUCUCUGGCAGAUUUUUUUGAAGCGGGUGCUUGGAAGAGGGUUACGAGGAAGAAAAAGAAACGGACGGCGGCGGCGGCCGGCCGGAAGCUGGCGGCGCCGGCGGCGUCGGUCGGGAUCGCCGCCGCGAGGGAGGCGCGUUUGCAAUUGCUGUUGGGCGCGGAUGGGCCGCUCGUGACCUCCGGGCCGCCUUCGGCUGGGUAUGAGGCCCAGUGCGAAGCGGCUGCGGGCCAAGCCGAGCGGCUAUCACUUGGGCCGGCGAGUUCUUGUGGGCCACGGUGUGGUGGGUAUGAGGCCCAGCCGGAUGUGGAUACGAUAAAUCCUGAGGAAAGGGGCGCAUGCACAACUCGUUCGUCUUCGUCUGUACCAGCGCCGUGCCCUAGGGUUCGUCGCUCGCCAUCCCUACGUACGGCCGGACCUGGACGAGCUCGUCGCAUCCCCCCUCUCGGCGCCAUGGUGGGCUCGGGAGGCGCGCCCCCUUCUAGGCGGCCGCCUGCGCCCAGCGGGGCGGGUCGGGUCUCCGGGGUAGCGCCGCCGGGUCAAGGCAAUGGAAGGGGCGCUCCGCCGCCGGGCCAAGGCAAUGGCCGGGGCACGCUGCCGCUUCCGGAGUCGGGCGUUGGUCGUGGUGGCGUGCUGCUACCCAAGAACGCAGCGGGUCGCGGGUCGGGUAGACCUGAGGCGGCGCGUGUUGCUGUCGGGACGCCCGUGGGGAGGCCGCCGGCUCCGGUGGUGCCGUCGGGUGGUCGUGGUGGACCGGGUUCCGGCCCUAGACCGGUGGUUGAAGGCGCUGCGACGGUUAUAGCUGCGGGCAAGGGGGCCGCGCCACCAAGGGCCCCCGCGCCGUCGGGUCCGACGCCUAGACCGGCUCCUCCUCCACACGUCGUUGCUCGUCCAUCUCCGUCGUCGCAGACCAACGGUACUGGUACUGCGCCCCGGGGUCAGUGGGGGGACGACGGCUACGAUGCCUACGGAACUGGCCAGCACCGUGGUUCUUCGUCCACGGGAGGCGGUCGUGGCUAUGCAUGGCAAAGCGAUGGCUCGGUUGAGAGGCCGGGGGCGGAGGAGGUGAGUCGGCAGGUGGCCACUCCCUCUUCUGGUCAGCACGUGGUUCCCCCUCUGGAGAUGCCGCAGCCUACCGGGCCCCGUGUGCAGGGAGGAGCUAUAGGCCAGGCGGUCUCGGGCUCUUGUUGUGCUGAGGACGGGGAUGCGGGGCAGGUGGCUCCCGUGUCCUCUCCUACGCUGGGAGGAGGUCUGGGUCAGGAGGACUCGGAUACUUCUUCUCUCGUUGCGAUUUCUUCUCGGACGGUGUCGACUUCGCCCUCGGGAGUGGGCUCGGGGCAGGUGGCCUCGGGGCUCUCUCCUAUGGUGGCGGCCUCUCCGGUGCAGGUUGGGGAGCCAGGACGGGAGGUCCUGGCUAUGUCUCUACAACCAUCGGUGAUGCCCUCGUCUGCCCUGCCGCCUAACCCCUCUGGGCCCGCUGCCUGCACGCUCACUCUCGCCGCUGACUUCUCCUUCGUCUUCCUCCCCUCCCAUUGCCGCUGGACCAUCCAGGACGUCCGCGACGGCCGCGUCCUCCUCAACCGCGACCCCAGAGAAGAUGAGCGGUCUCCGGUCUUCCGCGAGCUCGCGCUAAUUGUUCUUAUUAUUCCCAUUGGACUAGCCCCAGUAGCAUGUGCAAAUUCGAAUCCGCUCACCACACAUAUCACGUUCGGGCAAAUACCCAACUCACCGGAGGCCUAUGUAUUCUGCAAGCACGCAUGCCCCCACAGCACCUCUGUAUAUCACGAAAAACUAUCGGAUGGAUGGUUUUCAACUUUCAAGUUUGAACUUUCUGUUGGGCAUUUGCUGGGCCCGGAAACUGAGCCUGUUAUUGCCGUCGAGGGCCGUUUCGGCAUCCCUCCAGCAGCCCAGCAGAGAGAAAAUCACUCGACUAACUCACACAGCCGACGGCUCGUCCCCAUUCCCAAUCUGUCGAGGUUGUGCCCGAUUGGCACGGAACAGAGGAACGAUGAACGAGCAGGGAGGUUGUGCCCGAUUGGCUCGGAAGAUAGGAAUGAUGAACGAGCAGGGAGGGUGUGCCCGAUUGGCUGGGAAGAGAGGAACAAUGAACGAGCAGGGAGGGUACAACUAACAUGUGUGCCGCUGGAGCUGACGACCACUGUUCGCCACCAGAACGAGCUACUGGUAACAUUAUGUGCAAGGCUUGCUGCGCUGCCCAAGGUUAUGACAAGGAUAAGAGCAGUUGUUGUCAAGGCAGUAGUAGCUCCUGCUGCUGUGUAA
rnacentral:rRNA from 1 species